rnacentral:rRNA from 1 species
UACGUAGGUGACAAGCGUUGUCCGGAUUUACUGGGCGUAAAGAGCGCGCAGGCGGUCGAUCAAGUCGAGUGUGAAAGCCCCCGGCUCAACUGGGGAGGGUCACGCGAUACUGUUCGACUCGAAGGCAGGAGAGGGAAGCAGAAUUCCCGGUGUAGUGGUGAAAUUCGUAGAUAUUCGGAAGAACACCAGUGGCGAAGGCGGCUCACUGGACCGGUAUUGACGCUGAGGUGCGAAAGCGUGGGGAGCAAACGGG